rnacentral:lncRNA from 1 species
AAAUCCUACUCUUUGUGUGAGUCGAUAGAGGGGUAUGUGUCGUUGACCCUUGUGAUGGAAAGUUCUUGAUGGUUCUUUAAAGGAUGUUUUCUAUAAAUGAUUAUUUCUUUCGUUAGAGAUCUAGUUGUUAUAUCUAGAAGCGACUCUUCACUCUCGUUUUUAAUCGCUUUGGUUCAAUUAUUUAUUUCAUGGAUUAAAUGAGUUUUGUUGCCUUUUUUCCUUUGUUUUUUUUAUUUUAGAAGGUUGAAUUCUU